GACGAACGCUGGCGGCGUGCUUAACACAUGCAAGUCGAACGAAGUGGCGGACGGGUGAGUAACGCGUGAGUAACUGCCCCCCUCUCUGGGAUAACAGUUGGAAACGGCUGCUAAUACCGGAUAGUGGGGGAUGACUCGCGUCCUAUCAGCUUGUUGGUGGGGUAGUGGCCUACCAAGGCGACGACGGGUAGCCGGUCUGGGAGGGCGAGAGGCCAAAGUGGGAUGAGAUACGGCCGAAAAGGCGACGGGAGGGAGCAGUGGGGAAGAUUGCACAAGGGGGUGAACCCUGAUGCAGCAACGCCGCGGGGGGGAUGACGGCCGUCGGGUUGUAAACCGCUGGCAGCCAUGACGCGGUAGUUGCAGAAGAAGCACCGGCUAACUACGUGCCAGCAGCCGCGGUAAUAC
rnacentral:rRNA from 1 species